rnacentral:rRNA from 1 species
CAGUCGCCGCGGUAAUCCGUAGGUGGCAAGCGUUGUCCGGAAUUAUUGGGCGUAAAGGGCUCGCAGGCGGUUUCUUAAGUCUGAUGUGAAAGCCCCCGGCUCAACCGGGGAGGGUCAUUGGAAACUGGGAAACUUGAGUGCAGAAGAGGAGAGUGGAAUUCCACGUGUAGCGGUGAAAUGCGUAGAGAUGUGGAGGAACACCAGUGGCGAAGGCGACUCUCUGGUCUGUAACUGACGCUGAGGAGCGAAAGCGUGGGGAGCGAACAGGAUUAGAUACCCCAGUAGUCCCUGUCUCUUAUAA